UGGCGGACGGGUGAGUAAUGUCUGGGAAACUGCCCGAUGGAGGGGGAUAACUACUGGAAACGGUAGCUAAUACCGCAUAACGUCGCAAGACCAAAGAGGGGGACCUUAGGGCCUCUUGCCAUCGGAUGUGCCCAGAUGGGAUUAGCUAGUAGGUGGGGUAACGGCUCACCUAGGCGACGAUCCCUAGCUGGUCUGAGAGGAUGACCAGCCACACUGGGACUGAGACACGGCCCAG
rnacentral:rRNA from 1 species